rfam:Biomphalaria glabrata isolate BB02 unplaced genomic scaffold LGTN_random_Scaffold111, whole genome shotgun sequence.
UUGCCUUAAACUAAUGAGUAAGGAAAAUAACUGCCUGGGUGAUGUCAGGCAUAACAAAUUUCUUUAAGGGUUUAGGACACUGUUAAGGUGACCCAUCUACUUAGUGGGAUGCCUGAUAGUGAUCUGCCCU